AUAUCUCUCUGUACGGGAAGGAUGAGAAGCUUCGACUAAGGUUCGAUUCGAGCGCAGCGAGAAAGCGUUGCCGCAGGCACGACCCGAAGGGCGAAGCGCGCAGCGCUGAGUCAUCCUUCCCCCACCAUCA
rnacentral:sRNA from 1 species